rnacentral:rRNA from 1 species
GUAGGGCGCAAGCGUUGUCCGGAAUUAUUGGGCGUAAAGAGCUCGUAGGCGGCUUGUCGCGUCGGUUGUGAAAGCCCGGGGCUUAACCCCGGGUCUGCAGUCGAUACGGGCAGGCUAGAGUUCGGUAGGGGAGAUCGGAAUUCCUGGUGUAGCGGUGAAAUGCGCAGAUAUCAGGAGGAACACCGGUGGCGAAGGCGGAUCUCUGGGCCGAUACUGACGCUGAGGAGCGAAAGCGUGGGGAGCGAACAGGAUUAGAUACCCUGGUAGUCCACGCCGUAAACGGUGGGCACUAGGUGUGGGCGACAUUCCACGUCGUCCGUGCCGCAGCUAACGCAUUAAGUGCCCCGCCUGGGGAGUACGGCCGCAAGGCUAAA